rnacentral:rRNA from 1 species
AUUGAACGCUGGCGGCAGGCCUAACACAUGCAAGUCGAGAGGAGCGGCGGACGGGUGAGUAAUGCCUAGGAAUCUGCCUGGAAGUGGGGGAUAACGUCCGGAAACGGGCGCUAAUACCGCAUACUAUCAGAUGAGCCUAGGUCGGAUUAGCUAGUUGGGGGGGUAAAGGCCUACCAAGGCGACGAUCCGUAACUGGUCUGAGAGGAUGAUCAGUCACCUGGGAACUGAGAAGCGUUCGAGAAUCCUAUGGAGGCAGCUGUGGGGACUAUUGGACAAUGGGCGAAAGCCUGAUCCAGCCAUGCCGCGUGUGUGAAGAAGGUCUUCGGAUUGUAAAGCACUUUAAGUUGGGAGGCGUUACCAACAGAAUAAGCACCGGCUAACUUCGUGCCAGCAGCCGCGGUAGUAC